UUAAUUGUGGCCUACAGGAUCUUUAGUUGCAGCAUUUGAACUCUCAGCUGGGCAAGUGGGAUCUAAUUCCCUGAUAGGGAUUGAACCCACGCCCCCCGCACUGCAAGUGAAGAGUCUUGAAUGCUGGAUCACCAUGGAAGUCCCAGGAGUAGGUCUUCAGUGAAGAGGUUAGAAACUUGGUGUGGUUGAUGACUUGAUUAUUUGCAAGUAGCUUCUGGCAGUUUUUAGUUAGGAUUGAUUGAUGUAAGGAGACGGCUGGCUCUUUUGAAAGGGUCUUAAGAGGAGUCAGGCAGAGCUGUUUGAUUUGCAGCUCUGAAAUCAGAGCUGGGGCCGGGGACUCCAGAGACUUUCAAGUAGUAAACACCUCUGCUGAGGCUGCAAGUGAAAACUCAUUGGUGAAAACGGAGAUAUAUUCACUCAUUCAAUCCUUUAUUCUGUCACUCAACAAAAUUAUGGAGCAUCUUUGUGGGGCCUUCUCAUUUGCCAUUUACUUUACACGGGUCUCCUGCAUUGGCAGGCAGGUUCUUCACCACCAGCACCACCUGUGCCUAGGGUACUUACCUGGGAGGAAGACGCUUCUGAGUUCACCCACCAUGGCUCCUGGAACUUUGCCUCCUCCUGGGAAAAGUACCUGUGAGCAGGGGUCACUCAUCAACUCAGCCUUCCUCUGUCUCCUCACGAAUUUCUAGACCCACUGGGCAUCUUUCUGGAAGGUUGAAGCUGGAUUCCAAACGUAAACACUAUUUGUCGGAGCGCGGCGCCAUCACUCGCACGCAGAGGCGGACGGCUCUGUGAUGGCCGGGUGUGCUGGGCAUCGGCCUGACGCUCUUCCUACUGCUUCUGCCCAUGGAGCCUGGCAGGUUCCAAUUUCACUGCCAUGAUUCACAAGGAGUGGAGGGUCAGGCCAGGACCAGUCCUCUUCUUAGAGGCAACUCCAACAUCUGAGCUCUGUCCCUUGUCAUCAACGUGAAGACACCUGAGGCAAAUGGGUGAAAGGAACAGGGAGGGGUGUCCCACACACUCCCAGGCACCCAGCGCCUUCACCACAGGACACCCAGACCCGGCCUGGCUAGACAGAUGCCUCUUGGCUCUCUCCGAGCCUGUGCCCACCUGUCCACGUUCAGCUGCAGGUGGGCAGGCGGCACAUAGGCAUCUCUGAUUUAGGCACUUGCCACCCCUUAUCGAAUGACCUUGCGAGUUAUUUGGUGUCUCUGGGCCUGUUUCACCAGCAGUGUUAACAGUUCAGUUCAGUUCAGUUGCUCA